GUCCUUAUAUAUGAGAGUCAAGCAGAUAGAUGUACGAACUGCGCAUGCCCGACUUUGCGUCAAACAGAUUUUUAUUCCCUAUCUCUCCCCAUGUUAAUUGAGCUAGCGCCGGCGGCUCUGGACAUAAAUUGCUGAUACAGCCCCCUCGUUUGUUGGUAUCAAUCGAAAGGCGAUGAGUUGAUCUACAAAAUGAGUCCGGUACCAUAACGCUAAGUGUACCUAGUCUUAAGAAAUCGACCCUCCAACAAGGGCCUUUUUGAAGCCAUGCCAACCCCGCCGCCACUCUCUCCUGUCCUCUGAUUGGUCGACAAAACUCACAGAUGAUGUGUUGGAUGUAAAUAAACAACUCGCUUCUGAUGCUUGACUGACGCUACGCUUCUUUUCGUUCGUAAGAUUCAACUUUUGAUCAGAACAUCCCAAAUAAAAUGGAUUCGCCUGACGAUGCCUGCGCAAAUGCUGAAUUUUUGCUACAAAUCCUCGAUGAAGUGAUACUUCCCAUAUUGAUGGCCAAUGAUUCGUGUCCUAAGACUUUGUGCUAUAUUUGUGGCUGCUUGCAAACGUCGGCGAAGCCAAAUGAAAGUUAAGUGAAAACUAGAGUCGUAAGCGGAUUUAUAUCCCUACGCCUGAUUUGCCCUGCCAUCCUCAACCCAAAGCAGUUCAAUACCAUAUCUGGUCUGGCAAAGUGCUGCAGCGAGCUGAAGCUGUCCGAAAGAUUUUCUCGGCGUACUCAAACCAGUGGUACAGCUCCCUUGACACCUGAGGGCAGUUCCGUGGCUCGAAACUAGGAUCUUGAACCAUGAGGCAAAGCGUCUAAUCCACCACGCAGUAGUCAUCAUGCCUGAAUUUUUACGUUCUUUGGCCAUCAGCUCAAGCGCAGCAGCAGUAGAUUCAUUCAAGACCCACACAGUAUUGGUCAUCAUCCCUCUCCAUUUCUGCUACCUGUACGAUGUGCCUGCGUUAAACAUUAUAAAGGACUUGGCUCAAAAAAUAAGAACUAGAAGCUUAUUGCUCGGAUGAGUUUCGAGCUCAAGGCGGCGCCUCAAGAUCUCUAUUGAGCCUUGGUCUACACCUGGAGAGAAACUAAAUCCCUGUGUGCGAGUCUGCAAGCAACGGAUGGAAGGUGACGGGUGCCCUUCUGCAAGAUAGUGUUGAUAUCCUGUGCUGCCGUAAGCAAACCUCCGUUGGAUGCCCUUCAGGAUGUCAGAAUCGCUCCAUUUUUUAACUCUGUGCUUUUUUUCCCCAGUCACAUCUUUCUCUGUUGAAGCAGCAAUAAUUAUUAGGCAACUAUAUAACCCUCUAACAAUAAGUGAUUUUUAAUGCAUCCCCAAAUUUGUAUAAAUUUUGUUAAUAUUUAAGUUCAUGUUUUUGUAUAACAUUCGUGUUAAAAUCUUGACGAAACUCCAUGUAUGACAAAUGGUUACAUAACCAAUGGCUACACCAAAAAUUUAAUGCAGAAUUUUAAUCUUUACAAAUUUAGUAGCUAUUUUACUAAAUUAGACUCACUCAAAAUAUUGACGCCUGUGGUUGAAUAAAUCUUGCACAGAUUUUCUUCCAGUUUCCUAGAUUCCUGAAGCUCUUUUUCCAGAGCCUGGAUCUUGUUUAACAUUUCUUGCUUUUCCACCAUCAUUUUCCAAUUGUUUGUAGCGUCCUCUGAUACUCCAUUCCAGUUGAUUGCAAACACUUCGCCCACCGGUAAAUUUUUUAAAUUUACUGACUCCUCUCUCUCCUUUACUAAUACAUCCUGGCUCAGAUUGAAAGCACAAGAAGGUUCCGUCACUUCACCUUUUUUUAAUUUUAAAAAGUAAUUUGUUAAAUAAUUGUUAGUAAAUUUUAUGAUUACCAGUCAAGAUAGAGAGUGACCAUUGAUCAGGGUGAUGGUGGAUUUUUCUCUCUAUCGAUUUUUCAGAAUCAGGCAUGGAAAAUUCAUUUAAGUCAUGGUCUGGAACUUCAAUCACUGGCUUUUUCUCAAUGUGGCGUCUUUUUGUGCUUUUGUCACUGUUUAGGGCUGACGACGACCUUCGAGCUGCCCUUAACGCACGACUCUCCAUUUGCAUUGAUUUAAACCCAGGGAUAACCUUAUUCCCGUCUAAGUGGGCCGCCAGGGGAAUUACUCCUGGCUUGAGCACUCUUUUUCCUCCUUUAGUUGCGAUCCAGUCAGUUGGUUCAAAGUGAAGCUAAAAGAAUUAUGAAUUUUUUAACUGUUAAUUACGUCCUGGUGCCAGUAAAAUUGCGCGUAGCUCAACAAACACUCCAAUUUUAAUUGUUGACGGAUAUUUUGCCCUUUUGCAUCAAAGAAAAUUGAUUGUUGCUGUUGAGAUAAUAAUGCGUAAUUUUACCAGCACCAAGACGAUUUUUUUCUUGUGCAUAUGCAUAAGCUAUUAUUUAUUUAAUAAAUAUAUUAAUUGACACACUGAUUUUUUAUUAGUUUUGUGCUUUUCAAAAGUUUCAAGUUUUUUCUUUAAGUAAAAGACAAUAAACUCACACCACAGGCAUAACUGUUUCUUGUGGGCACCCACCCUCCACCUCUUUUAGAUCUUGAGGCCCACAAAGAGCAGAGAGAGGGUUGCUUAAUUGGAAAGUGAGCGCCAUCCCUCACCUUUCGACUGCAGCCGUAAAAAGAGCACUGAAUGUUUGAUUGCUUUGGGAAUAAAACUUUUUAUUUAGCUUUUGAUUGAGAUUAUGACAAUAUUACCAUUUUUACAGGAACUUAAAUUGCAGUCAAUUUGAAACUUAUAUUUCCUCUCAUGCAAGAUCAUUUGGCGCAAUUGAACUUAGGUGAAUAUAAACAAAGAACAUGUUCAAUCUUGUUCGCCACGCAUGUUUUCCGCCGAAAAAUUCAAAUUUCAGCCACUUAAUUAAGACAGAAUAAACCUCUUUAAUAUCUAAUGUUUGUGGGAUAAUUAAGUAAAAAUGCACUUAAUGUAAAUUGCGAACAAAUAGCUUUAUUUAAUUCAGCCAACAUAGUAAAGAUAAUUUAUCAGCACAAUUACUUUUGAUAAAAAUGUUCUAAAAUCCGUCAGUCAGCCAUUGGUGUCGGCAUACGUCUUUCCAACCAAUCAGAAACCAGGAGAGAGCGACUGCGAGCGAGCGACAAACGAGCGGCACUCUCAUGUGGUUUCAAAAGGCUCGUGUUUGAUGGUCGAUUUCUUGAGACUGGGUCCAUCUAGCGUUAUUGUUCUGACUCAUGUUAUAGAUCAACUCAUCGCCUUUCGAUUGAUACCAAUAAAUGGGUGGGCAGCUUAAGUAAAUUCUUUUUUACAGCCGCUGGCGCUACUUCAAUUAACAUGGGAAGAGAUAGGGAAUGAGCGCCAGCUUGACGCAAGGCAGGGGGCGUGUAAGGCGUGUUGUGACGGCGAGACUCUCAUAUAUAAGGACUCUAGC